AUGAAGUUUGUGGCACAGUUCAAAAGGAUGGUCAGUCCAAAGCAGGAACCAAUGAAAAAAAACAUUGUUCAUGAAGGAGCAGGCGGUCAUUAUAAAUGGGAGAACAAAAACAGAAAUAAUCCCCAAAUAAGGGAAAGAAUGGGAUCUAUCAUGUGAAUGAGCCUGGUAAACCUGAGAUUGCCACCACCAUCAAGGUUAACCUGCCAAAUCAGGUAGUAACAAGUAAGUAAAUUAUUGCUCAAGAAUUAUGCAGGUGAUCAUCAUGUAUGGUGAGCUUGUACUUUAUCCUAUUUCUUCAUUACAAUUAGCUAUGAAUAUAGUAAAAUUAAGAAGAAUUGAGUGGAUGCUGCUACAAAGGGGACAAUAGUGUAGAACAUACCUGCUAUUCCAUUUUUAAAGGUCUGAAACAAUGGGUAUCUCUAUAUAUAGUAAUCAGUUACAACAUCUUGAUUAUUGUCACUCAUUCCCCUCCUCUCCUCACAUUAGUGAUGGGCCCUUACUCUCCAUUUGACUAUGAGUUAAUCACAUAAUUUCAGGGGGUUUCAGUUUUCUCAUUAGUAAAAAUUAUGUUGAUCAGAUCACAUGUUCUUUC
rnacentral:lncRNA from 1 species